rnacentral:rRNA from 1 species
CCUACGGGGGGCAGCAGUAGGGAAUCUUCCACAAUGGGCGAAAGCCUGAUGGAGCAACGCCGCGUGGGUGAAGAAGGUCUUCGGAUCGUAAAACCCUGUUGUUAGAGAAGAAAGUGCGUGAGAGUAACUGUUCACGUUUCGACGGUAUCUAACCAGAAAGGCACGGCUAACUACGUGCCAGCAGCAGCGGUAAUACGUAGGUGACAAGCGUUAUCCGGAUUUAUUGGGCGUAAAGGGAACGCAGGUGGUCUUUUAAGUCUGAUGUGAAAGUUUUCGGCUUAACCGGAGUAGUGCAUUGGAUACUGGGAGACUUGAGUGCAGAAGAGGAGAGUGGAACUCGAUGUGUAGCGGUGAAAUGCGUAGAUAUAAGGAAGAACCCCAGUGGCGAAAGCGGCUCUCUGAUCUGUAACUGACACUGAGGUUCGAAAGCGUGGGUAGCAAACAGGAUUAGAUACCCCAGUAGUC